rnacentral:tRNA from 1 species
GCCCCAGUGGUCAAUGAUGAAAGCAUUCGGCUGCUAACCAAAAGGGUGGUGGUUUAAACCCACCCAGUGGCU